GAGUUUGAUCUUGGCUCAGAACGAACGCUGGCGGUAUGCUUUACACAUGCAAGUCGAACGAGUAUGGACUCUAGCAAUAGAGGACCCAGCUAGUGGCAGACGGGUGAGUAACGCGUGGGAACCUACCUUGUAGUACGGAAUAGCCAUUGGAAACGAUGAUUAAUACCGUAUACGCUCUUCGGAGGAAAGAUUUAUUGCUAUAAGAUGGGCCCGCGUUAGAUUAGCUUGUUGGUGAGGUAAUGGCUCACCAAGGCGACGAUCUAUAACUGGUUUGAGAGAAUGAUCAGUCACACUGGAACUGAGACACGGUCCAGACUCCUACGGGAGGCAGCAGUGGGGAAUAUUGGACAAUGGGCGCAAGCCUGAUCCAGCAAUACCGCGUGAAUGAUGAAGGCCCUAGGGUUGUAAGUU
rnacentral:rRNA from 1 species